UACGGGGGGAGCAAGCGUUGUUCGGAUUUACUGGGCGUAAAGGGCGCGUAGGCGGCCACCGCAAGUCGAUUGUGAAAUCUCCGGGCUUAACCCGGAACGGUCAAGUGAUACUGUCGGGCUAGAGUACAGAAGGGGCAACUGGAAUUCUCGGUGUAGCGGUGAAAUGCGUAGAUAUCGAGAGGAACACCUGCGGCGAAGGCGGGUUGCUGGGCUGAUACUGACGCUGAGGCGCGAAAGCCAGGGGAGCGAACAGG
rnacentral:rRNA from 1 species